rnacentral:rRNA from 1 species
GGGGAUAACGGCUGGAAACGGUCGCUAAUACCGAAUGAAGUGCUAGGUGGCAUCACUUAGUAUAAAAGUUGGGGACUCUGAAAGGGGCCUUGCGGUAGAGGAGGUGUCCAUGGGAUAUCAGCUAGUUGGUGUGGUAAUGGCGCACCAAGGCUAAGACGUCUAGGCGGAUUGAGAGAUUGACCGCCAACAUUGGGACUGAGAUACUGCCCAGACUCCUACGGGAGGCUGCAGUCGAGGAUCAUUCGCAAUGGGCGAAAGCCUGACGAUGCGACGCUGUGUGAGUGAAGAAGGCCUUCGGGUUGUAAAACUCUUUCGCUAGGGAACAAGGGAUAUAUACGAACAGUAUAUAGACUUGAGUGUACCUGGUAAAGAAGCACUGGCUAACUCCGUGCCAGCAGCUGCGGUAAUACGGAGGGUGCAAGCAUUAAUCGGAUUUACUGGGCGUAAAGGGCGCGUAGGCGGCAAAGAAAGUCGGGUGUGAAAUUCCGUGACUCAAUUACGGAGCGGCACUUGAAACUACUUAGCUAGAGGUUGGAUAGGGAAAAUGGAAUUCCACGUGUAGCGGUGAAAUGCGUAGAUAUGUGGAGGAACACCAGAGGCGAAGGCGGUUUUCUGGUCUAAACCUGACGCUGAGGCGCGAAAGUAAGGGGAUCAAACAGGAUUAGAUACCCUGGUAGUCCUUACUGUAAACGAUGCAUACUUGAUGUGGCUGGGUUCAACCCUAGCCGUGUCGGAGCUAACGCGAUAAGUAUGCCGCCUGAGGAGUACGCUCGCAAGGGUGAAACUCAAAAGAAUUGACGGGGACCCGCACAAGCAGUGGAGCAUGUGGUUUAAUUCGAUCCACGCGAAGAACCUUACCCAGUUUUGACAUGCAAGUUAAGGACACCAGAGAUGGUGGGGCCCGCAAGGGGACUUGUACAGGUGCUGCAUGGCUGUCGUCAGCUCGUGCCGUGAGGUGUUAGGUUAAGUCCUGCAACGAGCGCAACCCUUAUCGUUAUUUGCCAGCACGUAAUGGUGGGAACUGUAACGAGACUGCCUGGGUUAACCAGGAGGAAGGUGAGGAUGACGUCAAGUCCGCAUGGCCUUUAUAUCUGGGGCUACACACGUGCUACAAUGGUCGGUACAGAGGGCAGCGAAGUCGAAAGGCGGAGCAAAUCCCAUAAAGCCGAUCCCAGUUCGGAUUGUAGUCUGCAACUCGACUACAUGAAGUUGGAAUUGCUAGUAAUGGCGAGUCAGCAACAUCGCCGUGAAUACGUUCCCGGGUCUUGUACACACCGCCCGUCACAUCAUGGGAGUUGGUUUUACCCGAAGAUGCUGACCCAACCGAAAGGGGGGAGGUAGCUAAGGUAAGGCUGAUGACUGGGAUGAAGUCGAAACAAGGUA